rnacentral:lncRNA from 10 species
CAAUACUCGCCGGAAGCGGAAGCCGCGCCGAGGCUCGUGUAAAAGUCUUGCAGUGAAAAACCCGAGGACCCUUACCGCAAGUGUCUUUUGCUCCCAGCUACUGAUACUGGAUUCCACUCGUGAUUCUCCCUUUCUUAGCGCAUUCAUGAUAUAGACAUCAGUCUCUGAGCUGGAGGAGGACAAAGGCAGCGGUCCUGUGAAUUCUAUGCUCUAGCUUGGGUUAAGGGAUUUGGAAUUGCACUUGUUUCAGAGAGCUCCCUCUUUGCCCACUAGCAGGGCAUUAGCUGGUGCUGAAGACAGUGGCUGCUUGGCGAGCCUGGAUCUCCAAGUGACCCCCUCAGCAACUCCUGAUGAACAGGACUGAAGCCAAUAUUAAAGCAAGUCAACCAAAGGUUCUCUGGUGUAGACAAGACAGCAAAAGGACAGACUACCUUGUGGAACCUAGCAUUGUUCUCCUUCUGCAGCACUAAGUAACAUUUGUUCUCCGUUAAGAUCUUUGCAAACCACACACAAGAAUUGCUGGUCAUCCUGCCAAUAGAUGCUGCUCACAGAACCAAAUUUCCUGUGCUGAAUUGUCACUCAUGGGCUUGAGAGUAGGAGACUGGAGACCAAGGUGGCUAGAAUCCAGUUGGGCCUGAUGUCUCCCUGUUGAAAGGGCUCCUUGUGGAAUGAAUAGCACAUGGCUCCUGUGGUGGAUCUGAUAGUGGCAUAGCACCAAGUGAUGCAGGCCUGCCAGGGGCCACAGACACAGAAGAUGCUCCCGGGGUCCCCCAUGUACUCCAGACACACUGCAGGCCACCUCUCCCAGCAGGUUGCCAGUCAUGGGCCCCAUCAUCAUGACUUCUGUCCAAGGUGUGCUCGGAAAUCUCUUCCUUAACUGUGACUUUCUGACAGGUGGAGGAUGUGGUCAGGAGUGGGAAAAGGAUUCGAGACGGGAAGAGGGAGGGGUUCAGGAUGAAGAGAGAUAAUCUGUGCCACAGAUGCUGGCCCUGCAGUUAGCUCCCACCUAGUCCGUGCACACACAUUCUAAUCCCCUCCCAUUCCUUUACAUGCUGCGGCCAGAGAGGCCUUUCUCAAAGUGGAAGUCUCAUCCUCACUUCUCUGGUUACAGUGCUGGGCCAUGGUAACUUACAAGGCUUAGCAGGAACUGUCUGCGCACUCCCCCUUCCUGCCCACUACCUUGUUUCCCUCCAGUUGCGAGAGAAAACAUUGAUUGAGCAUUAACUAUGUGCCAGGCUUGUCCUAAGUCCUUUGCAUGUAUUCACUCAAACAAUCCUCACAACAUUCCUAUCACAUCUCCCAUUUCACAGUGAGGGUUCUAAAGCACGUAGUGGGUGAGGAACUUGUCCAGGGUCACACAACUAAGUGGGGGUGGAGAAACAUCAAAUCUAGGUGGUCCAGGUGGUGGCCAGAACCCAUCAGCACCUCACUACAGCUGCCUCCAGUUUCUCGCUCUAGGAAAUACUCUUCCCUGUCAACUCCUGUUGUCCUCUGGGCUCAGUUGACAUGUCAUCUCCUUGAGGAGGACAUCCUGAGAUGCUCCCCGACUAGGGUGGGCACCCACUUCCACACUCCAAAUGCCUAUUUGACCUGUGUAUCGCUGCAUCCCCACUGCCUGGCAGAUAGCAGGCCCCUAAUAAAUAUGAUUUGAGCAAAUAAAUAUAGUUCUUCAAAAAAUAGGGAGGACUUCUUGCUUCAGGUAAUGGUAGGCUAGGACAUUUGGACCAACCCUCCUGCAGAAAAUAGCCAUUUAUUUUGAUGCAAUAUAUCUGGCUAUGACUAGAGAUUUCAAAUAUUUGGAGGGCUAUUAUGUGAAGAACUAAACUUACUCUUUGUGACAUAGAGGUCAGAAAUUGGUCGUUUCCAUAGAGUAUGAGAGAGACAGAAUUGUGCUCAUCAUAAGUAUCUUUUUUAAAAGUUAGACUUAAUAAAAUGGGCUGCCUUGGUAGGUGGUGAGUUCUCUGUCACGAAAGAGAUUCAGCCACUUGCUCUGAGAAAGCAUGGAGAAUAUCAACAUUGUAAGGGUCGACCACCUCAUCUCUGAGGCCCCCUCCUCACUUAGGUUGCCAUUGCAGGUGGAACACUGGGCUGAGUGUCAAAGAACCUGGGUUCCACAAGCUGUGCGACCAUGGCUGGUUGUUUUGGAUCUCAUUCCUAAUAUCUGUUAGUUAAGCUGACCCGUCAAUACUGACCCACUUCACAGAGUUAUGAAGGGAUUAAAUUAGGUAUUACAUGUAAAUCUGUUUUGUUUGCUUUUUGUUGUUCUUUUUUGUUUUGCUUUUUUCUUUGCAUUAUGAAAUCCCAAGUCAACUUUUUCCAUUCUUUUAUUUUUUUAAAAAUUGACAUCAUCAUUAUAACCACAAAAUAAUUUUUAAAAUGGAAAAAAAAAACUCACCUGCAACCCCACAAUCUAAUACAAUAAUCAUACUUUUUUCCCUUUAUUCUCCUUUAUUGUGACCAAGGAUGACUUUGGGCAUUGCUGUGAGGAACUAUUUCGUUUAACACCCUACUACCUGAACAUGAUGCGUACUCAGCCUUUCACCACCCCCCAAGUAGCUACACAUGAUGUGAUAAUAGUAUUGGUGGUGGUUUUAGAGAGUUGGAGAGAAAACUGAAGUUGGAUUUGGGUAAAAGAAAAAAGAGUGGGAAUUAUUUUUUCUCCAUUCUAAAGCCCAUAAAGCAAUGUUAAUUGUUCCCACCCCUCUGCUAUUCUGUCUCCUCAGGUACUGUGUGCAGAAAUGUGAUUGAGAUUCAAGUCAGGGCCUCUCUGCCCUUUUCCCUCCAGAAACAAAACCAAGAUAAUUUAUCCUGAACACGGUGAAAAAAGGAAGGGAGGGAGGAGAAAAAGUCCGGGUCUCACCUGGGAUUCUCUGUCUCCUGCAACAUGAAGGAUUUAGCCUGGGAGGAGGUGGUGAGAACUCUGGGAGAGAAAAAAGAAGGAAAGAAUAGUUUUACCCAUGCUGAAGUUAAUUUAAACCUUCACCUAGAGAAGCAAAAAAAAAAAACCCACACUUUCCCAUUUUGUGCCUCCCUUCCUAGAGUUUUAGCCAAAGGUUUAGCUAAGUAAUUGGUUUUACCAGCGCACUCACUCCUCCUAUCCCAAGUCUGUUUGACUCCCUCCCCAUCAUCCUCCUCACCUCUUUUCAGGCAGGGUGGGGAUAGCAGCAGGAGGAGAUUUUGGGAGCCUGGCAACUCCUGCAAGGACCGCAGGACAGCCCCUCUGUGGGGAUGCGUGGUGCCCCAUCUGCCGCCCUUCUGAAGAAUGCACUGCCUUCACUUUUUACUGUGUUAGAGUCCAUCCAGACUGUUCUAUCCAAAAAAGUUUCUUUUUCCCCCACAGGCAAUCAGGAAAUGAUUCCUUUCCCGACUGCUUCUGUCUAGUGCCUGGGAAUCUUGAGUCAAUCCCUCAGUAAGUCAGUGACUAGGGAAAUCCCUCUCUGAGCCUCCCAGUUCAUGUUGCUUAGGGAACCUGAUAUUUUCGUGAAACCUGCCUACACAUGGGCAGCCCAACAGCAGAACAAAUGGUGGUGACCAAAGUGAACAAAGAAGUAUAGUUGUGCCAGCUUCGUAGUUGCCCAUGUGGACAAGUCAGCAGGAUCAGGACACGAGGAAGAGUAAAUGUGAGACAGUCAAUGUGACUUCUGCGAUAAACAGAUUUUUAAACCCCGAAAUUUUGCAAAAUUUUGGUGAAACCUGAACUUUCUUCGUUGCAUAUACUGGCACUAUCUGUACCAUCAUACAACUGUCUCACAUUAAAGCUAUUUUUCUUGGGCACUGAUGAGUAAGGUUGGUAUAAGUUCCUCAGAUCAACAAAAACCCAUUUUCCUGUAAGUCUUACAUUUAGUAUUUAAGGAACUAAAACUUAAAUACAUUUUGUGAAAUGGUUGACACUUCACUGAUAAUGAUUUAUUGCUUGGAUUAAUAAAUUUUCCAAAAGUUGUCUUAUGUAGAAUAUGGUUUGCAACCAGCAGAACCAUUAAUCUAUACUGCAAUGAUAUGCACUAUGUAUAAUUGUUUAAAAGCCUCUACUUAAUGAUGUAAAAUGCUCUAUUUAAUUACACAUUUGGGUAAACUGUAUACUAACAUCUGAUGGCAUUUUUCCACUGUUUGUUGCUUUUUUCAAAUACUUUAUUGUACAAAGCUGUUCUUAAUAUUUUUCAAGUUUUUUUCUUUGAAUUUUGCUAAUGUUUUCCUUGAAUUAUGAGCACUGACAGAAUGUGCUUAGCACUUUUGGCUAUUCACACAGCUUUUGAGCAUGAUUUGCAUCCAAUAUUUACAUUGCUAGCAAUAAUAAGCCAUCUGUGAGUUUUGUCAAAA